ACGCCUACGGCCAUAUCACCGGUUCUCGUCCGAUCACCGAAGUUAAGCAAUACCGGGUCUGGUCAGUACUUGGGAAGGUCACCACCUGGGAACACCGGGGGCUGUAGGCU